UACAGAGGGGGCAAGCGUUGUUCGGAAUUACUGGGCGUAAAGGGCGCGUAGGCGGUCUUCUAAGUCUUGUGUGAAAUCCCUCGGCUCAACUGAGGAACUGCACGGGAUACUGGAUGACUUGAGUUCGGGAGAGGGAAGCGGAAUUCCGGGUGUAGCGGUGAAGUGCGUAGAUAUCCGGAGGAACACCGGUGGCGAAGGCGGCCUCCUGGUUCAAUACUGACGCUGAGGUGCGAAAGCGUGGGGAGCAAACAGG
rnacentral:rRNA from 1 species